rnacentral:lncRNA from 1 species
GUACAUUUUUGGCCAUUAUUGAUAGCCAGUCAUGGUGAGGUCAUCACAGAUCCAUUCUGUUCAAUUCUGAGCAUCGAGGAAGGGCAUCUCUCCCUGAAGUCGCCUAGCAAUGAUUUUACAUUCUGGCUAUCCUGUAUUUGCUGGUUUGGAUAGCACAAUGAGCACCAUUACAUUCACAAAUUGCUGCACAGAACAGACACGGCA